UUUGCCAGCGCUGGGGAUCGAACCGCGACCAGCGAGACGGGAGAGCCACUCCUUAACCAGUCGGCCAAAGAGCUACCCCCCUCCCCAAGUGAGUUAGGGCGCUGUCACACCGUCACAGUCACGAUCAUGACACCCGGCGCCCUCCCGACGUCGGACCACGCGCCGACAGUUUUGGAAAUUUCAAAACAAUCGGCGCCCUUCCCGACAUCUGUCACCCGUCGGCAUUAACCAAGACCAUUGGAUGUCCAUCUCAACAGCGUCUCAACAACAUCGUAUCGACGCACGGCCCAGAUUCACUAACGCCUCGCAGAUACAACAAUCUUAAGUGGAUCCAAUAUGGCGGAAAUAAUUUUCCUGCCUUAACGCUGUUUCACACUCCCGCCGACAGACGGCGUAGUGUGUUGUUGACAUAUUUCUUUCAACCAAUGGCAGCGCUCGAUACAUACGUACUCAAGAGACAGUAGCCAAUCACAGGAAGCUCAACACCAGUGCAGCACGUGGCCCGUGACAGAGGCAGAUGAUGUUGUCUGCCCCACCGGGAGUACGGAGAUGAAGUGAGGAAGUUCAGGAGACUGAGUGUCACCUGUAAGUGUAAUGGGUGCUACAACACCUAGCAGCCCAUAUGUCCCAGCAGUGGGGCAGCAUCGGACCCUUAAACUUCCAGGCAGGAGACACAAGAUAAAAGAUUCUGAAGAAGCAAGACCAAGCAUAUAUUACUGGAUAGUUUGCAGAACUGUGUAGAUUUCCUUGAAUAGUUUCAACCAGAAUGACUGCAAUAGCUGGAGCUUUUCAGGACUUUGUUGAAUAUUGCAGGGCAUGAAAUUCUGUAUUUCUUAUGCAUCAUUAAAGGUCUCUUUUGCUUUCUUCAAACAUGUUUUGUAUUUGCAAUUUAUUUAAUUGUUUUCUAUAGGAAAUAACAUAUAAAAAUGUUUAAUAGCAGACUGUGAAAAAUUUCUCCAAAUAGUACACACCACAGGUGCUAUAUGCUUUACAUUUUAUUAAGUGUAUAAUAAGCUCAGCCAUUUUGUCCUGCAGUUAAUUUUUAGAGUCAGAUAAUUUCUCUCCCUUUUUUUACAAUUUAAGUUGUGAUUGUGUUCAUGUAUACCAGCAGUUCUUUCUUUAAUUAUAUUAGUAAAGAAGUUUUUAUUAUAUAAAUGUAGUCAGAUUAAGUGACUUUCAAAAGCAUUAUAAUUAAGUUUAUUCAGCCUGUGUCACUCUCAAAGUUAUACGCCUCCGUGGUCUAGUGGUUAGCGUGCCUGGCUUCUACUCCGCAGGCCUGGGUUCGAAUCCCGGCCCGGGCAGUCGGCGUGCAGCUCACCCAGCUGUUCAUCCUCCCUCUCAGGCUGGUCGAUAAAUGGGUACCUGGGGAAGGUAAUAUGUGGUAACCCAGAUAUCACACUGGCCCUGUGUCCCGGGGUAAUGGGGGGUCCCUUCCACCACAGUCUCAAGGGCCAGUGUUACGGAGAUGAGCACCGAGGCCAUGCGCUGCUACUGCGUAUCCCCCUAACUUUACUACUUUUACUCUCAAAGUAUAUAAUUGUGUGUUUGUGUGUAUGUUAAUGUGUGUGUGUGUGUGUCACAUCCUGGAAAGCCCAAGACUUCUCCCAAAACUCUGAUGACUCGAGAAAGAGUCUGGCUUCCAGCUAUAUCUUGAGAGCCAACAGUCGCCGUGGAAAUUUUCUAGGUAUAGUGGAAUAUGUUUUGACAGUGGGCAGUGCCAUUGUCUUUGAAGAACUCUACCGAGUUCUUAACGAAACACACCCAUACACCAAUUUGCUCGAUGAUUUCCUUUAUUUUAUUGCCAGUACACUAUUUAACACAUUUAAAUAUUUAAUAAUGUAUAUAUCAAUGCCCACUUUUUCAUUAUGUUCUCAGCUUGUGCCAGGAACAUAUGAGUCAGUACUUUAGUAAGGUUAGGUUACAUAAAUGAAAAAAGUGCAUAUUUGACUUAAAAACAGAAACAUUAUUUUCUUGUCAAUACCCAAAAAAUAAUGAAUUUCAAGGUGAGAAAGAAUUUUUUAUUGUCUAUGGACAAAGAACCUUUAUUUUCUAGUUUUAAUGUUGUGCUAUAAGUAGAAAAUGAAUUAUAUAUUUUUCACUUAACCUUUUUGCAUGAAAUAAAUAUCAAUAUAUAUAAAUAUUUUGCCUCAACCUAAAAUCAUAAAAUUCUUUUUCAAUUAUAGUAGCUAUGAAACUAUGAGUGGGAAUAAAACUGGGUGAUGAAUCAAACCUUGACGGGUGUUGCUAGGUUGCUAAUUUACCAGCAAUAGGUUACCAUGUGAUGGAGAUGAGCACCGAGGCCACACACAGCUAUGUGUAUGCCCCCAACUUCACCCUACCUUUACUAGACACAUCAUCUAUAACACCCAGUAAAACUAGCAUACUAAAUAGUAAACGUAAUACCUUAAUACAGUAAACAUCAUUGAGACAAGGAUGAGCCAUGGGAUGACUAAAUUACCAAAAUAUCCAACAAACAUAUAAUGCAUGUUGCAAAGAAUGGGUAAUUGCUUAGCAGGAGCAGUCUAUUUGAGAUGCAUAUUACUUAUUUCCUGUGGUAUGUUAUGAUGCUUUUUAAUGGGGAUCUGUUUAUUACCACAAUAAUUCAGCUACGAAAGUGCUUCAGCAAAUUUACCCCAGAAUUCACUAUAACAAGCUCUGCGGCAUAUAUCGUCCAGCUGUCUUCACUCCCAAAUCUAUUUACAAACUAACAGACUUAUUUUAACCUAGUGGAUGGUAACCUAACUCUGCUAAAAUUGUAACCUAUAAUUGCCGCUGGGGAUAGUAGCCUAUCGUUACAGAGGAGAGUAAACUGUCAACCCAAGUAUGAGACUCACCAAAUCAACUCUAGUACUUUCAUAAUUGCUUCCUGGUGAUAACUAACUCCACAAAAAAAGACAUGAUAAUUUACCCAGUAAUGAAUAGUUUGUGUCUCUAAAAUAGGUCGCUAAAAUCUGCUAUACAAUGGCAAGGGGACACCCAGAAAUAUGUUCAGGGAGAUUGGAGGGCAGAGAAAAAGACUAACCAAGAGAAAUUUUGGGGGUGCAGGGCCUGAAACCUCAUCAACGGUAAACGGGUGGGGCCCGGCCCAUCCUUGGUUGUGCUAGUGGUCUAAGGUAUUACAAACUACAAAUUAAGACUAAAUUAUUCACCGAGCAUGUAUGAGUACCCACAUUACCCCCUGGUGGAUCUCCUGCUAGCAUCUCAAGCACUUCAUAUAUAUUAUCACGAGUGUUUACAGCAAGAUAUUUGAUUCAAUAGUGUAGGAGUUCACAAUCACCACAUAUUCAGAGAAUGGUAUUAUAUACGGUUGACACGUCCUUAUAAAGCAAUGUUUUGAUAGCACUGUGACGUUUUGUUCAUUAUUUUGGCAGCGGGUCUUCCUCUUCUUCUUCAUUCCUCCUUGUGUUGUGGAGAAAAUCUGCCCUACGUACGGGUCACGAUAUCUUACGCCAUGCCUGGAGCUGCCGUAAAGUUACGGUGCCGGAAGAAUGUCGUAACUGUUUAGUGAAUAGCCCAAAGCAGCCGAAGGUUGCCUUAAGACAUUUUUUGUGACCUACGAACGUCGUAACUCGUUAGUGAAUCUAGGCCCAGCCUCCCAUCAUUCUGGCUUGCCUUUGGCGCACCUGAAAGGGGCGAUGUCGCUCGUGAGAAUCCAGUCUCAGUUAUAGUAUUAUUGCCAGAGUUGAACACAGUGAACAGCUCUUUCCUAACAUGAAAAGGGCGAUGUCGCUCGUGACUUGUGAGAAUGAGCUUGCUCCCUCGGCCUAAGGCGAGGGAGGAGAGUUUAUCUCGGCCCCAAAAUGCCUUAGUGUGACAUCACGGAGUGACAAAAGUGGUCGCAGAUUAGGCCUGUUUGAGACCUGAGAUUUCCUCGGUAGGCCUUAAAUAUCAAUAUAAAGUCACUGGUAUUUUAUUUCAAUUAUAAAUAUUUGCUGUUCUCCCGCAAUAAUUAAAAGAAAGCAGAUUAAACAACUUUCGGCAAAGAUACACUGUUUUGACCCCUGACACCUCUGAAAUUUUGUGACCCUCGCAGAUUGUAGGGGAGAUAGGCAGCACAACCAUUGCCGUCGUUUGUGCUCUAGUGUGUGCUCUUUGUGUUUUCAGCACUAUAUUACUUAUAUAUUAUACUAUAUUAUUUAUGUUAUUUAUAUUUAUAUCAUUAUACUAUAUUAUAUAUUAUUUAUCAUUGCUAUUUGCUAGUAAAAUUACUUUUAUUCCCUAAAAAUAAGAUGUAAAAUGAUUUUUACGUAAAUAUUUUUUGGGAUAUGGAAUGCAUUAAUGGGAUUCCCAAUAAUUUAAAUGGGGAAAUAUGUUUUGGUUUAUGAGUGUUUUGAUUUGCGAGUAAAAUUCUGGAAUGAAUUAAACUGGUAAACCGUGGUACGACUGUAUUAUGUAAACCCUAAAGUAUCAAAUUGAACUGAGCGGUGAGUAUGGGCUAUACUUUUUUAUGUAAUACUAUAUAUAUAUAUAUAUAUAUAUAUAUAUAUAUAUAUAUAUAUAUAUAUAUAUAUAUAUAUAUAUAUAUAUAUAUAUAUAUAUAUA